UACAGAGGAUGCAAGCGUUAUCCGGAAUGAUUGGGCGUAAAGCGUCUGUAGGUGGCUUUUUAAGUCCGCCGUCAAAUCCCAGGGCUCAACUCUGGACAGGCGGUGGAAACUACCAAGCUGGAGUACGGUAUGGGCAGAGGGAAUUUCCGGUGGAGCUGAAAUGCGUAGAGAUCGGAAAGAACACCAACGGCGAAAGCGCUCUGCUGGGCCGACACUGACACUGAGAGACGAAAGCUAGGGGAGCAAAUGGG
rnacentral:rRNA from 1 species